GCAGUCAUGGCUGAGUGGGUAAGGCGAUGGACUACAAAUUCAUUGGAGUCUUUUCGCACAGGUUCAAAUCCUGUCGACUGCG
rnacentral:tRNA from 1 species